GGCCCAAAACCUACUAUAACCUUCUCGGAUCAGGCCGAAAGGCCAAUUCAAAGUGGGUCCCUAUCGUUCCAUCACCAUGCCAAGCUUAGCACAUUAUAUAUUGUGGAUAUAGAAAGGGAGAUUUUCACCGCUUUUUAAUGCAUGUAUAAAUCUUUUUUCCUACAAUAAAAAUGAUAUUUGACAUUAUUUCAUGGGACACGGAUACGAAAUAGGCCAGAUAUAAAAUAAGAAUAAGAAUUUGGCAUUUUUCUCGGGCC
rnacentral:lncRNA from 1 species